GCUUUGACCUCGGCGCCGCUUCGAGCCGUCGCCGACGGGGGCGCGACGGCGCGCCGAGGGCGAGGAGGAUUCGCCGGCGCCAGCGGGGUCUCAGCAGACGCUCCAGUCGGCGUCUUGCUAUGCGCCGAGCAUCGUUGUUGGACGACAGCGUCUACCGUGUGGGGGCGCAUCUUGCCGUCGCAGCAGCAGCAGCAGUAGUCAUGGCCGCACAGCAGAAGCAGCGUGUCUCGUCGGCGUGCUGUGGUCGUGUUUAGCGGUGUGACCCGGCGGCAGCAGUGUGCAGCAGUGGCGACCGUGUGCAUGUGGCGCGGUGCUCGCGGGCGGCCGUCGAGCCCCAGAGCCGCCGCCAUGGGGGCCGGCGGGGCCGCACUGGGGCGGCGGCGACAGCAGCGGUGAGCAGCGCGUCCCGCUCGGCGGCCUGUAUGCCACGGCGAGCUGGGACGUCUCGGCGCUAUGGUGUGCGUUCAUGUUCGCCAGUAAGCGGUGCAAAUUGGUGAAACGCCUGUGGGAAGAAAGCCGCAACCUGGUGGUAUCGUACUACGCGUCGUCGCAGCCGCCGCCGCUGUGCGCGGCGGCAUCGCCGGCGGUCAACUAUGAAGCCUUCUGUUCGCUGGAGGACCGCAAGGCCGUCGAGUCGAUGCUGAAGCUUCUGGAACCACCGCAACUGCAGACGAUGCUGCAGGCGGUGCAGACCAAGGGACGCGAGGGCUGCGAGUGUCUGUUGUUGCCGCACGACGACGUCAAGUUGCCGCGCGAGGUGGUGGCGCCGCACGUGCUCUGCUGCCGACUCUGGCGCUGGCCCCAGCUCCGGCACCAGUACGAACUGAAGCGCUUGCCCUGGUGCGCGGCCGCCUCUCCGCCCGAGGUCUGCUGCAACCCGUACCACUGGAGCAUGGUGCAGAAGCCAGAGUCUCCACCGCCUCCGUACAGUCUGCAGAUCCAGGAGGAGAGCUACCCGCCAGUCGAGUCGUCGCCGCCGCCUCCAUACAGCCUACGGCCGAUGGGCAACGCCUACUCGUCUUUCGGCUACUCGGCAACAUUGGACUCCGGUACAGCGGUAGAGUCCAGUGGCGAGGACGAGCCGUGGUGCCGCAUCGCUUACUGGGAACUGAGCGAGCGCGUGGGAGACCUGUACUCGGUGCGGCGUCCGUGUCUGCACAUCACCUUCGAUGAGCGCCCCGCCUCCUCAACGUCAUCGAACGAAGAGGCGCUCCGGCUGCACUCUCUGGCAGCGCGCUCUUCUUCCUCCGGGCCAAACAAGGAGGCAGUGGCCCGAACACGAGCCAAGAUCGGCCAGGGGCUGUCCCUGUCGUACGAUCGCGAGGGCGUCUGGGUCUACAACCGUUCCGAGCACGCCGUGUUCGUGGCGUCUCCGACGCUCGACGUGCCCCAGGUUCGCAACCUCACAGUAUUCAAGGUGCUGCCCGGCUACUCGAAGUUGGUCUUCAACUGGCAACAGGCACGCACCUACAGCAGCUACCAGUCAGUGCCGUGGGACGGCCCGCAUGCAUCCAACGUGGCGCGCAUCUCCUUCGUCAAGGGCUGGGGUCCCAAGUACGCGCGCCAGAUCGUCACCGCACUGCCCUGCUCCCUUGAACUCUUUUUCCGCACCACGCCACCACCACCCAGGUGAUGAGGGGACUUGAAAGAAACAGAACUCAAUUUUCUUUAGUCAGCGCCAGCCAGCUGGAUGUGAGAGAGCCUCGGAUGUGAGAGAUUCCCGAGUGGACUGUCGCGGGUUGCAGGCCCGCCUGACUUUACCUUUUAAAACAUUCUCACACUGCCCCCCCCCCUCCCCAUGAUUGUGUCGGCCAGACAAGACGUGGCUCCAUCUCUCGUCGCUAUGAAGGCGUCGAGGACGUGUUCGUCGGGGUGGGGAGUGAGGGCCCGCUAGGGAGAGGCUUUUCUUUGGUGGUCCGAAGAAGGAGCAGGCAGGUAGACAAGAAAGCUUUCUGGUUAUGUGUGUGUGAGAUGUUCCUUGGGUGGGCAAGAGUAGCACUGCUCUUUUCAAUUCACUGCUACUCACUGGCCAUUCAGCUGUAAAUGACUGCCUUGAAGACGAGGCCCUGCCAUUGCACCAACACGCAAAGAACAAGUGUUCCAACAGGUUUUUGGCAGGUCGUGUUAUCCUUCUUCGCAGCUGUUGUGGUUGUGUUUGGCACUUGAACUUGCCCAUGUGCCCGAGAUCGAUGUUCCCCCUUAAGUGCGCUUGUUAUAAAAACCUCUUGUUGUUGGCAGAUAGCAUAAUUAUUUUUGCUAUCAUUAGUUGUGCAGGAAGGAGUCGUUAAAGCAUACAAAGCACACUGGUCCCAUUCCUCUACCUAAAAAUGAAUCUUUAUUUACAGUAAGCAACACUUUUGUCAGUGGGGGCACGCUUCGUAGUCAUUGUCAUCUAACAACCAUUACCAAAACAUAAAUGUACAGUUUCAUUAGUGUUAAGCAUCGAAGCCUUGUUUCUGGGAGUUUAAAACGGGAAUAUUACACAGGGCACGCCCUAAUUUUGCUUAAAUGCUGUCUUAUUAAAUGUCUUUGAGUGCCGUAAAGAUGAAUUUUUAUCCACUUUUAAGUGCUGCUAGGUUCAUAAUGAGCUGCUCUGUAGUAUAGUCCGUCACUGCGUGUGUUAAAAUCUUUUAAUUUGCUAUUGUAUAUUCAAAUCCAUGCCAACUUGUUUGGGCAGAAAGUAAAAUCUAAAGUGCUGUGCAUUUCAAAAUAGAUUGUUGUAACCUUUGGCCUCCCUAAAAAUUGUGCGUUCUUUUGUUCCAAGUACACAUUGUUUGCCAGAUUAGCUAGGAGUGGAAAUUACAUAGCAUAUACACCUACAGAUAUAUCUUCAAGAAAACAAAUGAAAUGUUAUAUUAAAAUUGUGGCUACAUUCACUGAUUUUCCAACAAGCCUAUUUUCACAUCUCAAAAAGCUACUACAGUUAGCUUGUGUGCCUGCCUCAGUUUGAUAGCAAGAGCACAGAUUGUUUGUGCUCUUAUUUUGUGUGUACAUUCUGAAUAACUGGCUGAAAUUGUCCGUGCAAUCAUAUAGUUCUUCAAACAGGAAGUUAAAAUAACGCGCAUGACUUCAAUGUGAGCAUUCAUUACAAGACACUGAAGUGGUUUUAAUGGUGGUGUAAAACCCAUCUAAGCAUUUCCGAAUUUCUAAAUCUGAUAAGUUUUCAUUACAGCUACUGUAAGCCACAUUUGUCAUGGUGAGCAUUGGAGCCUCCCGAGCGUGUCAUUUGGCUGUUCUUCCAUCAAGCGAUGACCUUUCACGUUGCUUGUGUGGAGAUAUCAAUCACUGGCAUGAUGGAACACUUCGGACCUUGUCAGGGCAAGGUUUAUUGAAACUGCCAUCAAUCUUUACAAUAUUGCAAAACUUGGCGGCAUUCUACAACAAAAGGCUUUGGCCGUACGCUGUCAAGUUACGUGCUUGAACAUCAUUAAAGGGCCCCUCACCAGGUUUGACAAUUUUGAGCUAACGAGCGCAAUGCAUACACUGGGCGUUCACGAUCACGUCUGCCAAAAUUUGCAACGCUACGCGCCGCGGAAAUGGGUCAAAUUUCAAGGUGAACGCUGCUUGCCCUUCCUCUCGCGGGCGCGCGCUUUAGAGGAUGAGGGGAUGACGUUCAUGAGAAAAUGGCCUUACGUAGAUGGCAGUGCUGUGACGUCGCUCCUCUACGUAGACGACUGUGCUCUGACGUCGCCAACAGUAGCACGUGACGCUGCGAUAAUUAUUUGACACGACAUGUGUAGUUUGUGUAAUUUGUUGCUUGAAUAGAUUAUUAAAACGUGAGAGAAAUAAUGAGACACACAAAAGGAAUGUGUGCGUAUUCUUGAUUUUUUUUUCGUGAAUUGCAGCGAGAUGUGGGGCUAAUGUGCCUCCCUUUCCCAUGCGUUCGUGUCCUCGCGGUUAGCGCAUCGAGCAGACGCCAGCCCUGGAAACGAAAGUAAUGUUCUGGCGCGUCCGAGCACUCAUUAUGCUCGUUUAUUCUACCGCGUCCAAGUAAAUGUUAAUGCCGCACUGGCUCAUGAUACCGCCACUCUAGUGCAUCGACUUUCAUGCCCGUCCCGCAGAAACAGGCAGUACACCACAGAGAACGCCGACAAAACGCCCAUGGCCGCUACAUAAAAAAAGGUAGCGGCCGUGCAACGCCGCUCGCGUGGGCUGGCUCGGGCACGUCAUGCGCACGUGACCAUGCAUGCGCAUGACGUGUUCUUGAGUAUGUGUCAAGUGAAGAGGGCAGGGAAGGGAUUUGGCUUGCGAAGGCUACACGGAGCGAGUGGCAAGGGUUUGAAACUCGCCUCCUCGCAUCAUGGUUUCGGGCCGCUACAAAUUAUUGUUUUUCUCAGCUCGUAAUGAACCGAUUGGAAAAAUUCUUGCGGCAUACGGCUCUUCAUUCGGCGCACAACAACUUCCAGCGUCUAACUAAAAUUUGCUAUAUGGCCUGGUGAGGGGCCCUUUAAGGACCACCUCAGUUUCUUUGAGAAAAGCACUGGAAAAAUAUUGUUGGUGGCUUAGCAUGUUCUCGGUGUAAAGUUUGAAACAUGAUUAAGGCGAAAGGAAAGAGACAGGAGAGCACCAACUGUUUAAUAUUAAACUGUGAAAGGUUGUUGGCUGAUAUACAAAAUGUGCCAGACCUGUGCUGUAAGCUUACACCAGUGUCCCCCCUCUCCCCCUUUGUUAGCUGAUGUGGUCAAGGUGCUUGCAAUGAUGAAUACAACUCUCAGGGGGUGUAGUUAUAAUAACCGGUGUCGAAGAUUGUGCAACGAGUGUUGGCUGAAGAAUCUUGUGAGGCAGGCAGAAAGGGUGCACCCAGUUGCCCCAUCAUGCAUGGCCUAUGUGUAUGCUGCUGGUUAAUACGCCGUGGUGGAGAUCCUAUUGUAAGGUGUUUUACUUUGCUGACUGAAGGCAUCUAUGCCACUCGUAGUAAACAUCGCUGUUGUCUGUUUCUUAAGAGAGGACGGCCCACCUGCUGCUUCCCUGAGUUGAACCCUUUGUUGUCGUUGUGGAGUGCGAAAGGUACUAAUUUGCCUCAAGCAGCUUCUUUCUUCAUGCAAGUCAGCUUAUUUAUUAUCGUGGUUUCCGUUGAGUAGGGAAGAAAGAACUGCCUGCUAUGCCUUUAUAUAUAUAUAAAAUAUAUGUGCUUGUGAUGUGUGUCCCCAACACAGCCUCUCCUUUUCCCAUUUUAUGCCUGCUCUCAUUUCUUUAAAAGCCUCUCCUGAAAGGAAAAGAACAGAGUACAAAUCGCUUGUUGCAUUCUCUCUCGGGUGUGUCUGUAUCUGCUUCGCUGCAACUCAAGUUUUUUUGCAAGCAGCUGCGUGUUGAGCACUGUGGACACUGACUGUGUAGUGUGUUAAAUUUGUUGAAAGCCCUCGCUGUUUACUGUAGCAAGUUAUUUUUUCAUUAUUAUUAUUAUGGUAAGCAUGAAGAAUGGAGUUACUUAAAUCAGAUGUGUGUUGCUUGAUUCAUCUUCAUCCUUCAAUCUCUCAAACUCGCCACUUGCACUCAUUCUUUUCUCAAACUGGUGCCCAGCAUGAGAGAUCUAAAAUUGUUAAGGAACAGAUAUUCACUUUCUGAAGCUUCACGUCACUUCUGUAUUUCUUUUUUAUUUAUUUUUUUUUCAUGUGUUCACAAUAACUAAUUCCUCGUGGCACAGUACAGCUUUUAUGUCCAGUAUGCGCACUUGGAUGUCCCAGUGUUUGUUGCCUUGUGCACUGCUCUCUACACAUUCUGCAGUCACACCUUGCGUUUCGGUGAAGGCUCUUUUUUCAUCUCAUAGGUGCAUUUGAAGAAGCUUUGAUUGCAUCUACGGUUCCUUUGAAGGGUCAAGAUGGGUAUUCAACUUUUCCUUUGUCAUUCUUACCACUGUUCACUUGUCGUUGAUGUUCCUCUGAGCUUUGGCCAACAGCUUGGCUUACCUCUUUAGCGCUACUUUGUGAGAGUGGCCUAAUACGUCUUGGACACUUUUUUUCUUUUUCAAAACUAGAUCGCUAGCUCCUCUCUGUGUUGCCACGCAAGACAUUGCUUGCUUUGAACCUCCGCUGGAUGACCUAAGGAAAGGUGAAUCUGUUGGCUUAGGCCAGUCUGGGGAUAACUUGCUUCGGAGCCUGUGCGAAUAUUCUCGAGUGGCCCAGACGGAUGGUGCUGUCAGCAUCUUUUGAGACUGUGCAAGAACGGGCGUUCGCGGAAUGCAUCCAACUUACGUGCAUUCCUCGUGGUGUUUCACAGUAAUCGCUAUACUCCCUCACCUCUCACCACCUUUUCCUUCUAAAGUGUCUCGACCAAGCCCACCUGACAUUUUUUGUGUAGGGAUGUGAUGUGCCUUUUUGUCAUUUCUUCUAGCAUCUUAUGGGAGCUUGCUUCCUUUUCUCCAUUGACAGCUUGAGGGCAUGAUCGCAUAUAGCUAGAUAGUCGUCCUCUAGAGCCAUGUAUUCUGGGUUGCCAGCCAGGUACACAGUCUUCUUUGCACACAUGCAGCUCAUGUCUUCCACAUGGGGCAAUGCCCCCCCUUCCUGGCAGGUGAAGGCCUUGUUCAUUGUCCUCUUGCCUUUCUCCCACCUGCGCUGCCACGUGGCCUCUGUGUGUAAGCUUUUCCAUUUGUAUCAGCUUUCUACAAAGGCAUUGCUGCAAGCUGGGACAUUGAGCUUUUACGAACAUUCUACUCACUGGGUUCUCGCCACAUCACGGGGGUGUGUGUGUCUUUUUCGAGUUUGUAGCAUUCUCGUCGACUCGGGGAUGUCUUAAUUUGUGUACCCACCGAACGCAAUGUUAGGAAAGCUUUCCACUUGUAAAUGGAAUUGUGUGGUCACUUGGCCACAUUUCUUGACCGUGGAGCACCACACCACACUCUUGUGAAGGAGAGAAUAGUGGUUGGUGUUCCCUGUGCACCUUCGCUCUAUUUCUUUCCUUUUUGGUAGCCUGGUAGGACUCGUGAGUAAUACAGGGUUGGGCUGGACAGCCAUCUUAGGACACCUUGUCAUGUUGCACUCACGUUUUUUUUUCUCCUCCACCAUCUUGUCUCGUCUGUUGUCCACCCUUUCGUCUCAUCGUCUUUGCUGAUGAAAGAACACAUAAAAAGUGCCAAAAGCUGUAGUAGUAACUUUGUUGUUUGUGUCUCUGUUAGGGCUCAGGUUUGGGGGGUGUGAAAAAAAAAAAGGAGGAAUAACUGAAAAAUGUUGCUAUCACAUCUGUCGCCACAGCCAUGGCUUGGUUAGCAGGCCAAGGCCUUAGUGCCUCGCUGCAUCUCACUUUUGUGUGUUGUGUGCUAAGCAAAGCAAAAAAAAAAAAAAACUUGUGAACGUUUUCAGAGAAAGUGCGUUCUUGUCGGGCGUGCACACGCUAAUCACUCCGAAAAGAGAACUAUUCCAUCCACACUUUGGUAACAGAAGAUUAUAUAAAUAUAUAUACAUAUAUAUAUAUAUAAAGAUAUAUGACUAAUGUAUGAACAUGCUGUUAAGCAGCUAUAGAAGCUAGGCGAAGCCUGCAGAAAGUAAGUGCCUGGUCGGUUAGGGAAAAAAAAUUGCGUGUGUAUAGAUACAUUUUUCUAGUUGGGUAGUCUUCUAUCCCCACAGAAGAUACUAAUGGCUUCGUGCUGCCCUUUCGUACACUUUUUUUUUUUUUUCUUCAGGCGCAUGUGACGAUGCCUGUGGCCCUGAGAAGCAUGUGAAAAAAAUAUUUCUACGCAUGGUAUGGAAGUGACAAUCCAAUACCAUUCUGCCUGCCUCAAUGCCUUAUGAAUACUGUGAAAUAGAAGCGAAUGUGCGAAAAUGAAGCUGUGUGUGUAUGUGUGUGUGCGUGCAUGUGUGUUUUAAUAAGUUUGCUCAAGCGUCCUAGACUGUUGCUGUGUAUAAGUUUCUUGUUUCAUCGUUUUUCUGGAGUGUGAAGGCACAAUGAGAAUGACUUAAUGAAAGCUUUUCUUUUUUUUUUUUUCUCAUGCAUUUUUGUACAUAUGUAAAGUGUAAAUACUGCUGUUUUUUUUUUCUAGUAGGUUUUUUUUCCCCUUGUGACCGGUUCCGCUGUCAAAUGCGUGGCUUUGUACAAAUUCUGUUGGAAGUGUACAAAAUGAAAAAGAUACUUUCUACUGUAAUAAAGGUACAGGUAUCCUAA